UUGUCUCAAAGAUUAAGCCAUGCAUGUCUCAGUACAAGCCGAAUUAAGGUGAAACCGCGAAAGGCUCAUUAAAUCAGUUAUGGUUCCUUAGAUCGUACCCACAUUUACUUGGAUAACUGUGGUAAUUCUAGAGCUAAUACAUGCAAACAGAGCUCCAACCGGAAACGGAAGGAGCGCUUUUAUUAGAUCAAAACCAAUCGGUGGCGGUUUCGCCGUCAUCGUACAACUUGGUGACUCUGAAUAACUUUAAGCUGAUCGCACGGUCUCGCACCGGCGACGCAUCUUUCAAAUGUCUGCCUUAUCAACUGUCGAUGGUAGGUUCUGCGCCUACCAUGGUUGUAACGGGUAACGGGGAAUCAGGGUUCGAUUCCGGAGAGGGAGCCUGAGAAACGGCUACCACAUCCAAGGAAGGCAGCAGGCGCGCAAAUUACCCACUCCCGGCACGGGGAGGUAGUGACGAAAAAUAACGAUACGGGACUCAUCCGAGGCCCCGUAAUCGGAAUGAGUACACUCUAAACCCUUUAACGAGGAUCAAUUGGAGGG
rnacentral:rRNA from 1 species